rnacentral:rRNA from 1 species
AAAUUGAAGAGUUUGAUCAUGGCUCAGAUUGAACGCUGGCGGCAGGCCUAACACAUGCAAGUCGAGCGGAAACGACACUAACAAUCCUUCGGGUGCGUUAAUGGGCGUCGAGCGGCGGACGGGUGAGUAAUGCCUAGGAAAUUGCCUUGAUGUGGGGGAUAACCAUUGGAAACGAUGGCUAAUACCGCAUAAUGCCUACGGGCCAAAGAGGGGGACCUUCGGGCCUCUCGCGUCAAGAUAUGCCUAGGUGGGAUUAGCUAGUUGGUGAGGUAAU